rnacentral:rRNA from 1 species
AUGAUCGGCGGGGUCCACCUCGUCACCUCCUCCUCCGUCUCCCUGGUAGACGACCGGCCGGCUCCGGUGAGCUCAAAGGCGACGCGCACCUCCUUCGCUUCGUGGUCGGCACCCGGCCGUUCUUUCGCGCCGUGGGCGACGACCGAACCAGGGCUCCUCGUCGACGCCGACGCCGCGUCCUCCUCGGCCAUGGGCAUGCCGGCCUUGGCCUCCCUCGCGGCCUUCACCUCGCGCUGCAGCUCCCGCAGCUCCCUCUUGACGCGGUCCAGCUCACGCAUCACCUCGGCGUACGUCGCGCCGCCGCUCGACUCCAUCGGCCGAGCGCCACCGACGUCUGCGGCGAGGCCGGCUACGUUCGCGCGCGGUCCUUUGAGGAGUUCCGACCUGCGGGACCCCUGCCGCUCCAGCUGCUUCUUGGCCACGACCGCCGGCAGCUCAGGCUCCGCUGCAGCGACGACGCGCGCCCUCUCCUUGUCCGGCCCCUGCGACCCCGCCUUGGGCUGCUCCACCAGCUGCUUGGCGUCGGCCUGCUCCACGAGCUGCUCCAGCGUCUUGCCCGCGAACAGCUCAGGAUCCACACGCGCCUUCGCCUUCUCCUUCUCUCUCUCCGGCGUGGCGGCCGGACGCCGGUGCGGCAGCCGAUCGGUGCCGGAGCCGGACCUCGCCACCUGCUUGACAUCGGACGACACGUUCUGCACGCAGUCACCACGGUCGAUGUUAUCAGCACAACACCAAGACCCGGCACGAUCUCACAUGAAGCCUACCUUGACGACCUUGGGCAGCGUGGCUCGCCGCCGGGGCUUCCCGCGGCGCCGCACGUCGAUGCUCUGGCUCUGGCUCUGGCUCUGGCCGAAGAUGCUCAUGCCGUCGCCCACCGACACCGACUCGUUGCCGCCGCCGUAG